UUGGGUUAAGUCCCGCAACGAGCGCAACCCUCGUCCUUAGUUGCCAGCAUUAAGUUGGGCACUCUAGGGAGACUGCCGGUGACAAACCGGAGGAAGGUGGGGAUGACGUCAAGUCAGCAUGCCCCUUACGUCCUGGGCGACACACGUACUACAAUGCUGUGGACAAAGGGCAGCCAACCGGCGACGGUGCGCUAAUCCCAGAAACCACGGCUCAGUUCAGAUUGCAGGCUGCAACUCGCCUGCAUGAAGGCGGAAUCGCUAGUAAUCGCAGGUCAGCAUACUGCGGUGAAUACGUUCCCGGGCCUUGUACACACCGCCCGUCACACCAUGGGAGUUGGUCACGCCCGAAGUCGUUACUCCAACCCGUUCGGGAGGAGGACGCCGAAGGCAGGGCUGAUGACUGGGGUGAAGUCGUAACAAGGUAGCCGUACCGGAAGGUGUGGCUGGAUCACCUCCUUU
rnacentral:rRNA from 1 species